ACAGGUGAGGUUCUUGGGAGC
rnacentral:ncRNA from 3 species